AGAUCUAUAACUAUAAGUAAAAGUAGUUUUUCCGAUUCUAAUUCUACUUAACAGCUGGCCUGUUUCAAUUGCUUGACAUGAAUUCAAUUCCAUUUUCUUACUUAUUCAAAUUCCAUCUAUAACAAAACCACCAUUGCCUACCAACCCCGCCAUGCCACCACCGUCGUCAGCCACUUUCAACCACCAUACCUAAACCAUACAAACCUCCAUCACCACCACCUAUCAUUACUUACUUUCAUCACCACAAAUCCUACCCAACAGCCAAAAUAGAGGCAAGAAAUUUUUGAUGAAAAAAAAAAAAAAAGACAAACCCGCAACCUCCCCCCUCUACCUAUAAUCAACUUCCCAGCACUUCUAUCAACAACCAUCAUCAGCAAAAAAAUACUUUAUCAAUUAACACAAUACCACAAACAUGCAAAAACCAAAAUCAAAAUAAAAGGGGGACUCGGCAUUUUAGUAUUGAGAGCUCUUUGGUGGUUUUUAAAGGUUUGGUUAGUAGGAAAAGGUUGUGAGGAAAGAUAAAAAGGAAAAAGAAGAGAAAGGAAAUGGAAAGCCACUGUUAAUGACGGUAGAUGUCGCAUUCAACGGCGACAAGUUGGCUUCUAGAAAAGUGAAAUGGUGGAAAGGAAUAGGACGAAGAUAAGAGCGACACACUUAAGUUUCAGGCGAUUUGGAUGGCAGAAAAGGGCCCAAACAAUGGCCGGAAGUUUCAGGUUUAUUUUUUAGAUCUAGGAAUUCUUGUAGACUUUUAGGAAAGUCUAGCUUGGGAAAAGAAAAGAGGGAAUCGAAAGGAGUUUCUAGGUAAGUUUCAAAUGAUUUUGACGCCAACAACAAGUGGUUGGCAACAGCAUCGUCGAUGGCCAUCGUUGAAAAUUGGGUUAUUUUGAGGCUAGUAGUUCUAAGUUUAGAGAGAAUGAGGAGAAAUGGGAAGGUAGGAAGAGAGAGAGAAAAGGAGUAAAAGGAAGAAAAUGAAAGGGAAAAAAAAAGGAAGGGGUAAUUGGCCGACCUGGAUCCAACGCAUUCGACUCGACCUAUCCAGUUCAAGUCUAGUCCAGGAGUUCACUGUAUCUGCGCCUUUUUCUUAGUUUGGUCCACCUUGGGCUUAAGCCCAAGAAUCCUAUUUAGGUAUAUUUUCAUUAUUUCCUUUAUUUAAAUUAUUGUAUUAUUAUGUGUAUUUGUUUUUUUAUAUUUAUUUAGUAUUAAAUACAAUCGAAAAUAAAUUUAUUUAAGGAUGAUAGAGGUUCUUGAUAAAAAAAAAAAUUUUGAAUAAAAAAUAAUUGUAAUAAUUUUGUGAUUUAAAAUUUUUUUUUUAAAAAAUGCAGGAUAAUAUUUCUAAGUAAAAAAUAAUUUUAAAGAUUUUGUUUAAAUAUUGGAAGGAAUUCAAAUAAUUAUUUUUUACCAAAAAACAUUAUAUUGGAUUUGAGAAAUUAUUAUGAGAAAUUUUCAAGUCAAGGAAUAUUUCUUCUAAAUUUUACUUAAAUGUUGAGAAAUUUCAAAAUAUUUUCUAGCACCAAAAAUUUUCAUUUAUGUCUAAACAAGAUUUUUGCUUACAAAUAACAAACAAAAAUUAAAAAAUUAAAGAA
rnacentral:lncRNA from 1 species